rnacentral:rRNA from 1 species
AUUGAACGCUGGCGGCAUGCCUUACACAUGCAAGUCGAACGGUAACAGGUCUUCGGAUGCUGACGAGUGGCGAACGGGUGAGUAAUACAUCGGAACGUGCCCGAUCGUGGGGGAUAACGAAGCGAAAGCUUUGCUAAUACCGCAUAAGAACUACGGAUGAAAGCAGGGGACCGCAAGGCCUUGCGCGAACGGAGCAGCCGAUGGCAGAUUAGGUAGUUGGUGGGAUAAAAGCUUACCAAGCCGACGAUCUGUAGCUGUCUGAGAGGACGACCAGCCACACUGGGACUGAGACACGGCCCAGACUCCUACGGGAGGCAGCAGUGGGGAAUUUUGGACAAUGGGCGAAAGCCUGAUCCAGCCAUGCCGCGUGCAGGAUGAAGGCCUUCGGGUUGUAAACUGCUUUUGUACGGAACGAAAAGACUCUUUCUAAUAAAGAGGGUCCAUGACGGUACCGUAAGAAUAAGCACCGGCUAACUACGUGCCAGCAGCCGCCGUAA